AAUCAACGCUGGCGGCGUGCCUCAGACAUGCAAGUCGAACGAUUAAAGCUCUCUUCGGAGAGUGUAUAGAGUGGCGCACGGGUGAGUAACACGUAAGUAAUCUACCUUUGAGUGGGGAAGUAACAAUCGGAAACGAUUGCUAAUACCGCAUAAUGCAGCGGCAUCGCAAGAUGACAGUUGUUAAAGGAGCAAUCCGCUUAAAGAGGAGCUUGCGGCAGAUUAGCUAGUUGGUAAGGUAAUGGCUUACCAAGGCUACGAUCUGUAUCCGGUCUAAGAGGAC
rnacentral:rRNA from 1 species